rnacentral:misc_RNA from 1 species
CAAACACAAUGAGCAACUAAGUUACUUCAAAGAUAACUUAUUUAUGUAUCAAAAUAAGGCUCAAGUUCAGGACUAACAGCAAAUGGUAAUGAUCACAACUCCAUAUCCUCAAUAUAUUUCACUCUAUGACAAUGAUGAUAUUAACUUUCAUCACACAACAAAGAGUUACCAUGCAACACAUAUCCGGCAUUAUAGAAAAAAGGAAGCUCAUUUCACAUCCACACCUUACUUUAUCCACUCAAAUCCAUCCUCUGCUUCUUUCUCAAUGGCACUCUUUGC